rnacentral:rRNA from 1 species
UACGAAGGGGGCUAGCGUUGUUCGGAAUUACUGGGCUUAAAGGGCGCGCAGGCGGUCCUUCAAGUCAGAUGUGAAAGCCCCGGGCUCAACCUGGGAACUGCAUUUGAGACUGGAGGACUUGAGGACGGGAGAGGAGAGUGGAAUUCCCAGUGUAGAGGUGAAAUUCGUAGAUAUUGGGAAGAACACCGAUGGCGAAGGCAGCUCUCUGGACCGUUACUGACGCUGAGGCGCGAAAGCGUGGGGAGCAAACAGG